GGUGAUUGCAUCAUGGACUCUGAGAUGGAGCGCAGCAAAAACCGAGCAAGACACGCUGCAGGCAUGAAAAACAGAAACCGCUGCAGGAGAGAAAGAACGGAGCUGCUGGAAGAACUAGUGUCACACAGUGUUUCAUGUCUUUUAGGUGGCAAGUUACAUCGGUGGCUGCCUGCAUCUGCUUCUACAUGUGCACGGAUGUUUGGCCCAGGGAGUGAUGGAGCGACUAUCCAUGGCAGUAAGUGCAC